GCCCUUUUUUCAUCCAUUGCAUCCAUACCUCUUUUACUGCAGAGUCAUGUGGGUUUGCACAGCUCUUGCUGGGCACCUACUAGGUUAACGUAGUAUGUAGCUGUGGAUUUUAAGGUCAACACUCUGAUCUCGUCUUUUGUGACCUCUGAUAAUUGCAAGCCAAAUGGUUUCACCAGGUUAUUGUGGUGUCCAUGUCCGUCCUACUGCUUCCAGUAUUCUUGUGUAAAAAUGCUUCACAAACCUCUCAAAUGGCUUGGGCCUGGCAGUGAUUGACUAAACAAGGGGACGUUCAGAGGCGGGGGUGACCCCAGGGAUGGUGUAACGGGAAUUGGUUUGCAAACAGGAUUUCUUAGUAAUCUUGGUGGUACAGAUCUCUGUCUCAAUCCGGGCUGUAUCUCUGAAGCCAUCCUUCUGAAGUUAAACACAAAACUGUUACCUUUGUCUCACAAAUGUUAAACCUGGUCAUUCACAUUUUGUUGAUCACAGCUGUAAAGGUUUCUACUGUCAGCUCAAAGGUUGCUUGCAGUAUAAAGGGAAGAGCAAUGUUUUAGAAUUUCUUUUCCAAGUUUGUAGCUUCUUUCUUUUCACUACUUGGACAAAUUUUGCAAAGGUUUCACUAGGGAAGAAAGAGAGAAGAGAUGUAAUUGCAACUUGACACCAGGUGAUGAAGAAAGAUACCAAAUUCUGAUUCCAUCAUCACAAAUGCCUACUUUUGUUAUCAACAAGAUGACAUUACUCUCUAUGGAUUAUGAAAAAUUGGAAAGUUGGGUUAUGCUAUGUGGGUGGAAAACUGGGUUCUCCCAGAUAGUAAUGGGCCCUGUGGCUGUAAACUGUCCCCUCCGCAGUGUCUGUGCUAAUGAACGAGUGGCAGUGCACACAUCCGAUACAGCUGCCUCAUAAAUACUUAAUUUUGCUUUUACCAGUCAGCCAGGGUUUGGCAGAAGAUUGGUUUCUGUGCAGCACAGGAAAAGAUGCUAGUGCAGCGUUGCACUUCCCUGCAGGGAAUUUGAGCUAGGGUAGGAGCACUUCUACACCAGCCAUAGACACUGCCAUCCCCUCGAAGUUAUUUUGAUGUAGACAUCAGAUACUGCUCACUAGUCCCAUAAGGAGUAUCCGGUUUUAGAUUAUUGUUUUUCCAGACUCCUGCGGUUUCCCUAGCCUAAGGAAAAAGGGAUGAAGAGGAAGAUUUACUCGGUGUUCUCAUUUGUUCCAGCAGCCUGAUAGCUGACAUCCACGCUUUGCUGCGAGGCAGUUGCUGGGCUGUAAUGUAAUGGCACUCAUCAUUUCCACAGUGUGGCAUUUCGGUAGGAAACGGUGUGAUCCUGCAGGCAGGCUGGCAGAUGGAGACUUUUGUGACGGGUCUGCUGCUGAUCCCACCUACGUCACUUCUCGGCAUCUCUGUUUCUUGUCCCUUCUUGUCGGUAAGGCACUGAGCUUCCUGGGAGCGCCCUGCUGUGAUGGGUCGGUGUAGCCUGAGGUUGUGCAGUGAUUCAGAUGCUGUUCUGAUAAAAAGUUAAGGGCUUGGCCUACAAUAGCACUAGUUAAAGUAACACAAACUUUGCGGAGUUUUUCUCUUAGUUCGGUGUUUUAGGUAAAUAAUAUUAACAGUACAGUGCACAAAAAGCCCUGAUGUUACUCAGGAGAGCGAUCACCUUCUAAAAAAGGCUGAUGGACAAAGUUGCCCAAUGGGAUAAAUUCAUGGGAAUCUUAAUUCAUGGAAAUCUUAUUUCAUUGGGCUCUUCCGGAGCGUUUACACCGGUGGUUACCGCGACCCUGCCUGCCCUGGUUUCAGCCCUGUGGCUCACACCGCCCAGCAGAGGCCGCCCCGGCCCUGCUCUUAGGGUCCCACACCGCCAGCUCGGGGGCUGCUGCCUCUGAGCCCCGAGGGGGGCGAGCCGGAGGUGGGAUCGCAACGAGCAAAUGCUACCUGGGGCUGAAGGUCGGGAACAAUGUCCUGACGGUGCAGAAAUCCCCCCGGGGGGUUCCUAUUGCUUGGGAUGCUGUUUAAAAAUAGCAUAAAUCAAAUCUACAGCAACACGUAUCACAUGCAGCCCUUUUCUGCUGUAGGUCAUUUAUGCCUAUUUCAGUCCGAGACAAGGAGAAGAGGCUUCGGAUUGUCCUUUAGCAGCCAGGUGAAUGGCAGAUUGCAUCAGGACAAUCUUGGAUCUAUUUCGGUUUUCUGCUGGAGUCUGAGCAUGUAGGAUGCCUGAGGUACCCCAACUGGAGACUGAUGGAGUACGUAGGUAACUGGAAAGGAGCAAAUAAGCGUUGUAAGCUGAAGCCUUCUGUUCACAGCCAGUCAUGGAAACUUCUCGUGAAGAGGUUUCAGCAAAUAAUUUGAUAUUUAAUUGUUGGUUAGUGUUAGUAUUAAAAAAAUUAAAUUGCUUUUGAGUAUUCCUCAGUGUUCAUCUCCUUAAAUUUACUAUUGUGCUAUAAGAAAUUGCUCAAAUAGCAUCUGAGAUCCCAAAUGGAAAAAGUUCUGGAAGUUUCCCAGGUAGCAGAAGUCGACUUUCAUGUGGUUUUCUCUCAAGGGCUGGCAUUUGCCACGGAAGAUGCGUGGUAGGAAGGCAGUGCUCUAGGCAUCUCUUCGCCAGAAGUUGUGUCUCUGUGGAACUAUUUGAAACUUGUAAUUACAGGCUUUUUAUUUAACUUCCAAGUAUAUCUUAUUAGUAUGUGAAAUAUAAACACUUCAGGAAUUUAUAAUGCAACUGUUGACUACAGGCCUUACAUAAGGAAUGACUGAAACUCAACAGAGAUAUUUCAGUAGUUCUUAGGGGCUUCCACAGGUGAAGGCUUUACUCCAGUGCUUUUGUUUGGAAGUUGCUUUUCAUAACAAAGUUCUCUCAGUACGUUUUCCUCUCCAAAUAAUUUGUCUUUGGUUUUGAAAUUCUUAGUGCCUGAAUGUUGGUGAAGCUCGACCAACAGUACUCAAUGGCUUUCAACUGUUUGUGAGAAGCCAAUUUGGGUGUUACCACAAACUGUUGCAUCAAAAGCAUUCCCCCAGUCCCAAGCUACACAGAGGUGUCUCUCUGUUGAGAGCCUCAGCAGAAGACCUGAAUGGGAAUGGAGCUGGAGCAUGAGCUGCUCCUCCACCAUCACCACCGUGUUCUCUGGGCUGAAGUUCAGAAACUUGCUUAGAGGGGUUCAGGGCUCAGGCCGAUUAGACACGGCAAUAAGGGCUAUUAAUCUCUAUUAUCAAAGCAUCAAAUUCACAUGAAAAUAUUUGCCAACAUACAGCUUUCAUUUCUGGUGAAGGCUUUAGGACUGUCAGGAAAGAAUACAAAAAGGCAAAUGUGGCAAAGCCUCGAUUCUAGCAUUUAUUUGCAUUUCUUCCUUAAGGACUUGUAGAAAAAGUGCCCAAAAUGCGUUAAGAAGCUUUCAGUCACCAGCUGCUACGUGUUCUUUCUGUCGUGACUGUGUGUCUGAGGUCACAGUCAGAAGCUAAAUCUUUCACAGAGCUGUGAGGGAGGAAAAACUGCAAGCAGCCCAUCUUGCGGGCAUGGAGGAGGGCCGGUGGGGCUGUCACCAAGUCUGGUUUUGUCACCUGGAGGCAGAUGUGCAAGCCCUUUCCCUCAGCGGUCAGUCUGCUGCUGAGGGGGCAGGAAGGCAGCGGUCUCCUGGGUCUCAGACACUUGACACUUCACAGGAAUGGAAGAACUAGAGCUGGCUGUCUGCUCUUAGAUAUUUGUUAAGCUGAACGAAAAUGGCCAGAGCAUCAGAAAAUUGGUCAGAGCUCAUGAUCAGUCUGAUACAAUAUAAGCAGAACAGUUUGUAAGGUGAUUUUCCUUUUUGUCAGUUAGACUUUUAAAGCUGCUGAUCUGCCAGAGGGCUUUUUUCUUCUUUUUUUUUUUUUCUUUUAAAUUUUUUAAGGAUUGCAUAUUUCUGCCUUUUUUUUUUUUUUAAACAAUUCAGCCUCAAAAAAGCUUAAUUAAAAGUUUAAAUUUUUAUUAAGUUUUUAAAUAUUUAAUUAUUUUUUAAAAAUGGCAAAACUUAGAGAUUUACAGUACUCAAAUUCUUAACUCAUAUUGUUGAACCUGAGUUGGCAGUUGUAUCUUGGUACCUAAAUAUGCCAGGUCUUUAACUCCAGACAGAAAAAGUAAAACAAACAAAACCCCCUGCAAUGAAGACAUAAUGAGAUGCAAAAUGAUUUGGGACAUUUUGAAUAAGGUUUUAUGCUUUCUUUCUGUACAGUUCUAUAUGUUUACUUUAAAAAACAUUCAUUUUAGAAGACAGGAAAUGAACAUCUGCCAGAAGAUAACAAAGCUGGGAUAUUAAAGCAGCCUUUCCAUUGUGUGUGUACAUAUAGAGGUUUCAAUAUUUGUCGUUAGGUCACUUAUCUCCUGUUAAUUUCUAAUAGCUUAUUUCCUAAGAACAUAUGACAUGUUUUCCCUUUCUUGUUAAAAAAAGCAAUUUUGAUUUGCUGUGUUUUGAAACUGUUACUAGGGACCUUUGGAAAAGAUUUUGAGCGCUGAAGUGGAACAUGUUCAGCAUCUUCUUUGUCCCCCAGUAGCCACUGGCCUUAUGAGAUAUCUUAACCUGAGCCACCUGAAACUCCUUUUUCUCCAGUGUCUACUGCAUGCGCUCAUGAGAGCCAACUCCAGGGGCUGAAAAGUCCUUUCUGCAAAGACUCACUCUACUCAGAUUGAGCCACUCUAGGGCAGUCUGUAUGGCUUCUGCAUGCAGAUUAUUUUUAUGUAUGAAAAAUGUAUGAAUAUUCCCUCAGGUGUUAAUUAAUGCAAUUCUUAGUUAUUGAGAUUUUAAAGAAGAAGAAAAAAAAAAAAAACAACAAACCAAAAAAAUACAAGGUUCUCAGAGUAUUCAAAUGUACUCAUUACAUCUCAUUCUUCAGUCCCGCACCUUACAUGCAUUUAGCUGAAAAGCCUUUCUCCUUUCUUGCUUAUGCUUAUGACCACACUGUACCUUUGUAGCAGGGAGAAUGUUUUCCUUUUAGUUUUGUUCAUCUGAAUGUAAAAUAAGGAAUUUUUUUACAUGUCUGUUCACAAUAAUGUUCCAGUUUCUAAUUCGUAGGGUCUUCUCUAGUGGUGAGGUCAAGAAGAGGAGCUUAACCCUCAGCUGCAAUCACAUUAUAAAUACUUUCUCUGUUAAUUCGUUUUAUUGGUAAAUGGCAGUGAAAGUCUAUGAAAUUUACUGGGAAGUUUAUCAGAUGAUAAAAACAGAGAAUGAAGAGUUAGAACGAAGAACAUCCCUAGGGACACUACUGACGAGCCUGCAGAUUGGGUGGGAUAAAGAUGCUCAUAACAGCAUUGUAUUCAUGCUCUCCAUAGAAUAGGUGAUGUUCUGGAAAGAGGAUCUUAGAAAAACAAGUGUUGAUGGAAAGGAAUGAAGGGGAAUUUGCUGCAACUGGGGGAAAAAGGAGGUAAGUGCUCUGGGUUCUGACUUUCAGAUUGCACUCCAUAAACGGAAGGCCACUAACAUCUCGAAUCACAUCAGGAAAACAAAUCUCCUUCAUUACUAAGAAUAGCUCAUGUUAUUGCAUUGAAAUAAUUUCUCAAAGCUAUUUUUUUCUUUUAGACUCCAUAUUUGCUCUUGUAGCAUCUGGGAGCACAGACAGUGGAAAUCAACAGACUGAUCCCAUGAACAGCUUUCAUUUGUCUGCACAGAGCUGACUCUUUUGAGAUGCCAGGAAAAUGGGCAAAUUUUGAAUCACACAGUUUUCACUGGAAGGAGUGAUUAACUUGUAAACAAUGCUGUUAGUACCAGUUUGGGUAAGGAAGAAAUUAAUUUUUAUAUAAUCUGUAUUCUCAGUCAAACGCCAUGAGUUUGUCUUGCCUUUUCUGUCCUAGUGUGAAAAAAAAAUACAAAACUGUGUGUACACCUGCUAAUACUUACAAAAUGCUCAAUAACAAAAUAGUGCUGUAACUGUGUUACGGUCUCAGAGCAGCAGAAUUGAGUUGCUUGCUGUCUGUUUGGAGAUAAACCCUAAUUGCAUCAAUAUUUAGUGACUGUGGUAUGGACCACAAAGACUAUUAACCUUCUGGCACACCCAGCAUACUCAUGCUAGCAGUGCACAUGGGACUUCCAAGUAAUUGUGCAUGGAGGGCUUGCAAGAGCAAAAGCUUUAAAUGGUGCCUCCACGAGUAAAACCAGGAUUACAAUCUCUGCAAUAGAUCUGGGAGCAUUUUAGUAGAAAGCUCUGACAAACAAAAGGCAGCAAAACGUUUUAAAUGGCAAUUCUACCUUGCUGCUAUAUAAGAAAUUAAAAUGUGAAUAGAAGCCUGUAAUUAGGUGCUCAGUAGCUUAAUUUAAUAUGAGGUGUUUUUGAAACUUGAUGGCAAAUCCUAGAUAAUGGUGGUCAAUUCAAUACUGAUAAAAGUCUGUGCAGAUCACUGGAAUGACAUCUCUUCUUGCAUCGUUAUAGCAGCCCUUAAGCUAUGCAGCACCAGAGCUAAGGAGAAAAAGACAUCAUGUAAGUAAAUGGAAUUGUAUCUCUAAUUUUAUUUUGUUUUGAAUUAGAACUCUCUCAGACAGCUUUUUUCUAGCUCUAGGUUCAGGUGAGCCAUGUGAAGUGUGCUGUAUUGACUUAGGGUGUGAGCAGGAACUCUGAAUUUCAUUGCAGGUUUAUAAUUCAAGGCAGCAAGGCAGCCUGGUUAUUUGUUUAAAGCAGUAUUUUAUUUUCCUUGAAUCUCAAGAUUGAAGAAAUUUAUGUACUUGUUUACAUAGCAGCUGCCUUUAGUUUUACAUUUAAUACAUGGAAUUUGAAGACCAUCAGUUGAAGCCAAUUCAAUUUCUGUGGAAUUCAGGCUUUCCUAAAAACAAUUGCUUCUAACCUGCAGGGAAUAUUUAAAGAAUGUGGCUAGUGUGCCACCUCCUCCUGCAUGGCCUUUCCAGGCAGCUCUCCACUUGAGCACUACCAUAAAGGUCCUGCACACAGGCUGGCUUUCUCUAAGUCGGCAUUAUCACUGGUAAUUAGGAGUGAAGGUGUUGGUACCAGCACAGCUUUUGUUUUGCUGGCCAUGUAAAUCACCUCACAUAGCCAGGCACUCAUUGCAGUGCACAGUGCUGGUGGUAUCUCAGUCAGAAGUAAAUGAUACAGACAUUGAAAACUUUCAGUAAUUAUUUGAUGUGGACAAUUUCUCUGAUAGCAGUUGCCUGGAGGUAGAUUUACAAGAAACAUGUGAGCUGUUGUCUUGAAAAUGACCUUAACUGUGAAGGUGAAGCAGAAGUGGGUUCUGGACUUGCUUCCUUUGGUUGUUUGCCACAUUCCUCCCUUGGGCGAUGUAAGAUGGGUACAUUUAAAUAGCUGUCUGUCUGUGUGGUGGCACUGUAUGCGGAGAUAAAGGCACUGCACGUCUGAUGGAAAUGGUGCUUGGUGCAGAGAACUAAAGUGCCACUAAAUAAUGCCGCAGUGAGGGAAAUAAAAUGUUGAACUCUUACGCUACUUCCCACUUUUCCCAAACCAUGAAGUUUUCCAGUGGUAUUUGCAUUAAAGGACAGCAUUGAAUUAUGUUGUUAAGCUGCAUAUCAGACAGAUGAUGCAGUGGAUGGAGAAGUUAGGAAACUCUUCCAAAGUCACAAGAGAAGUCAGUGACCACCAGGAAUAGAACCCACACAUGCUGACAGCCAAGUCUCUGUGCGAGCCACAAGACCGUCCUUCCUCCUGCACGCAGAGAGAAGAAUCAGCAAGAAGCGGAAGGAGUUUCUGUGGUUUUGGAAAGGCUGUUCUGGUGAUUCGCACAUAAUCAGCAGAAGGACAAAAGAUAGUCUUCAUUUACAUAGAGGGCUGGCCGCAUGGCUCUUACUGUAAGUAUUUUGUAACUUGGCUGCUUUCAAACUGGACUCCUUUUCCCAGGGUUGGCCAAAUAUUAUCCAGGUAGGAGGAAGAGUCAAAGACGAAUCGAUGCUAAUUCAUUUACAGGGUAAUUGUUGAUGGGGCUGGUGAGUUAAAGAUACAAGCAGCAAAAACACCACCUUCAUACCGUGCUGGUCCAUCCUGAGGAGUGAAGUCCUUUGGGCAGAGUAGCUGGGCAAAGAAAGCGCCUCUAGGGCUAAUGAGGAGAAAUGUUCUUUGGUAGCAGCUUUUAAAUCCAGUCUGGCAUAAGCCAUGGAAAGCAUCACUGUGUUCAGCUGUUUUACUAGUGAUUCUCAAAUACACUCAUUUUUUCCAUGGUUAACACCACUUCCCAAUUUUCAUCAGUCAUCUUUUGAGCAGCUUCUCUCCCCCCCGCUUCCUUCAGUCUGUGCUGUUAGUAAUUCUAGCGGCAACCAACAGUGUAAGUAAUACCACCAUGUAAGCAAGACUGGGAAAUAUUAUCAGUGCUUAGCAGAAGCAGUUCAAGAGCCAGGCAGCUGUCUGCUAACCCAGGUGGUACUCGGUAGAUGCAGCUGAGAAGUUUUGUACAGGGAGGGAAAAGGUAGGGAGGGAGGUUACGGGGCAAAUCCUGUCCCAUAACGGGCAAUGGAUGGUGCCACGGGUGGUGUUGAUUGAGGAGAAGCAGCUUGCUCUGGUAAUUUCUCCAGAACUGCAUGUACUGGGUGCCAGAUUGCAGAAACAUCAGGACAGUCUCUACAGAGCUAGGUCGCAUACAAAAGCUGGGGUUUGUCAUUAUUAAAAAUUGCCUAGACCGUAUUUCUGUAGGUAAUGGAAAGGCAAUAGCAAAACAGCUUUCUUUAAAUGUAGUUGUUUAUCCACCGGCACUAAUGUGCCAGGAGGUGAAGGAGGCUAUUGGCCAUUUUAUCGCAUAUGAAAUAAACUAUGCUUUUCUGCAGUUACAGUUUAGCUUACAGGAUGUAUCAUAAUUUAUUUUAAAACAUUGACAGAGAACUUUUCUCUAUGUUGUCAUCCUAAAAUGAGAUGGGAAUGAUAAAAAAAAGGUGUCAGUCAUGUUAAUGAAGAUGACUAUACUUUUCUUGCAUACACAACAGCAGGCAAAAACGUAAAUUUGAAAUCAUUACAUAACAUUGCUGCGGUACUGAUGAAAGGCCUUAGGUAGAUCAGAGGUCCCCUGGCUUUCGGUGUUGUGCAAACAGUAAACAGCUAUUCCUACCUUAGAGAGCAUACAUCAGCUGGCAGUCUUUCUUUAGGCAAGGCUCUCUGUGGGCACGGAGAGGGCUCUUGCUCUGCCAUAACCUGGAGAUGUCAUAUUGAAAUUGUGAAGGAAGUGCAAGGCAGGGUAAGUGCAAGUGAAAACAAAAUUGGGAGAAACUGAAAGAGAAAAUGCUUCUGUGGAAGAAAAAAUCUGGUGAGCAUGAAGAAAAAGUGCUGGGUGCAACUUGUUUUGGUGGGAGUUUAGCUUCUGUAGCAGCUGGUGAGAGCCAAAGACGUUUGGGUUCCCGAACGUACGUAGUCACGCUCUGACUGGCGCUGUCAGUUCAGAUGUGGGAGUCCCAAAAGCCUUUCAGAAACAACUUGAGCACGUAGGCACGUAACGCCCCUGAGCUCCACUGUGGCCUUACUUGAACAAGAGAGAACAGCGUCUCUGAUGUACCUACACCCAGGCUGUAAGAGUUUCAGGUUCCCGAGUCUUACUACAAUGAAUUCUUGGGAAGAAUUCAUUUCUCAGUUCUCUCAGUUCUCCAGCCUUUAAAUCCUGAGAUUUCAGUGUCUUACUACAUACAUUUUUGCCUUCCUAUAGCAUUACAUUUCAUUCAUAUUCACAUCCAUUCCCUUCUGGCAGCUUUUCUUCCAUUAACAUUGCUCUGAUUAUCUGUGAAAGAGUGAGCAGAUAUACUUGAAAUAGGUUGUUCCUAAGGACCAGCCACUCUGAUGUUUAUCCUCUUAUGGUGUGGCACAGCUGGGAAUGGCAAUUUGCUCUUGUAACAGGUUGACCAAGGAUCAGCUACAGUAUUAAAAGAUUAGUGCCCAUUAAUUUCCAGUGAGCUCUUCCGUAAUAACCUCAGCAUGUUGAUGCAGAUGUUCAACAUUUGCGUAUCUUCCUCAUUUACAGAACAUUUUAUUUGAAGUCUAGCUAAAAUAAAAUAAAAUGUAAAUAAAUCCCAUUCUUUUAAAUUAAGUUAUACUAUGUGUUUAAAGAAUGCAUGGGCUUUAAACUUACAUUGCAUUUAACAGUAUAUAUUUUUUGACAUCUGGACGAUAGCUCUGACAGUGCAAAUGAUCUGCUCUUAGCUUGUGGAUUGCAGUGCUGACAACCAGAGGAAACGAGAUGUGGACUCAGUAAUCACAAAAACAUCCAUCUAAUUUGUUUCCAAGGAUUAAUAACAUGAUUCAAUCUUACUUAUUAAUGAACUGUGUACCUCCAUAAUUGGAUACAGCUGUUACAACUUCUGCAUUUAUCUGGUGCUGCUGCUGUAGACAGCUACCACUGUAGCACUGCAGAUCCACUUCUAUCCCAUGUUUUCCGAUGCUUAGCUGCUACGACUGAACUGAUUUGUUAUAAACCUGUUUCUUUUGCCCGUAGAGAGAAAAUGAAUUUGGUGAGGAUUUCUUGACUAAUCCUGACUAAACUUUAAGAACUGUCCUAUUGUUUUUUAGCCUGCAUUCUUCCCAAUCACAUGCUCUUAACACAGCACAGUAAUUAGGUUCAAGAUAGGCUACUACAUGGGGCAACAACAGCACUACGGUUCUUAGUCUUUAAUUCAUUAGGUGUAUCAGCAUCCCCGUCCCUCACUGCCCUCUCCGUUCUUCAGUUACAGAAUCUAGGACUCGAGUGGUGCUUAGUCACUCCACGACAAACUCUUUAGAGGAUUGGGCAGGCAGGAUCAGUCCUUCUCGUCUCACUUUGAGAUCUGGCCUUUAAAGAGCCUUGCCUCAGAAAACCCCAAAGCCACAGAGCACACACAUCACCCUGCCGAGCGGUCAUGAGCGAGCCGUAAAUGGUGCCACCGACACCUUACCCAGCGGAGGCUGCAGGGCAGGUUGGGGUCGGGAGGUGUUUCUGCUCUUGCUGAGGAUGUGGGCUACGGCGGCCAGCGGGGAUCCUGCCAUCAGCCUCCUCUCGUGCUCUUGGCAGUCUGCAGUGCUAAUUCUUUGUCUGGUGGCUUGAAUCCUGCCUGGAUGUUUUUCCACUGCCCUAGAUACAGCGAGGCUUUGAUGCUACUUUGGAUCUUACCCAGGGUGGAUGCUGCAACUGCUGUUUUUCCCCUGGGAAAAGACAGUGUGUUCUGAGCUGUGCCCAUCAGGUGUUUCAAGUUAACUUUCACAUUUGAAAUCAACUCUGCAAGAAAAUUGAAAAAUGUCUUUGCCCCCAGAGUGAGACUAUCUUUCUUUAGAACAUGAGCAACACAAACAGGAAUUGUGGUGUUUGUCUUCUUGGGGAGCAGUUAUAAUGCCCGUAAGAGUUAUGAGAUGUAUGUGUUGUCUGUGUCCGCAGCAUCUUUGAGCCCGGGACACUGUGAAGUGAACUAUUACAGAUUUAUGGACGCUGCGGCAGCUUCUUUUGAACUGCAUGAAGUUGUGCCAGAUCUGAUCAACAUAAUUUAAGUGUGCUGGGUUGACUCACUUGUGCUCUGUGUGAACAACAGAGUAAGCUGAGCAUGUUCCUUUCCUGCAAAACCUCGAAGAGGCUUCAGUAACUCGGGGUUUGAAGCACUGGAAGUUGUGCUGAGAAGAACCUAGAGUUUCCAUCCUUUAAGCAAUAAGAUCUCUGGUUCGUGCAUAAUAAGAAGAGAUACCAUUAGCAACCGAGUGCAUUUGCUUUCUUCUCUGUUGGUUGUUGAAAGCUCUGUCACUGGCGGCUCGUUGUCCCGGUUUGCACGGCUGGCUUGUGAGGGUUUUAGUCACUGUGUUCGGGUUUGCCGAUGCCCCACUUUGCAUCUAAAACAUCUUGGCAAGGAGCAUGAAGUGUUUUUCCUCUUCUUCCCCAGAGGCUCUGCAGAGGCUUCUGCACCAGCUAAGUCUGCCUGUCACCAUAUGUUUAAAAAAUGAAAAGCAAUUACCCCUGUUGUCAGGCAGCCGGUGAGUAAUGUGCAGCUUCGCCUUGGAGAAGGCUCCCAGCCCCCGCUGUGCUGCUCGUGUAUGGAAGCUGGGCUCAUCAUACUGCAAAAUAAAAUCCAGGAUGGUGCCAUCAGCCUGUGAUUGGCUUUGGAGGCAGGAAAUUUAAUGGACUAAGCUCUAAAGUCAAUAAAAGACCAUGUUUUGCCCUUGCUAGUCUUGGCUUGAGAUAAAAGCAACUGUGGGCGAUGGGUUUGAUUGGUAGGAAUCCUGCACAGUGGAAAGUACAUUAGCAUCUCAGAUUUAUAGUAUUUCUAGCCCAACACCAUGUGUCCAAAAAUAGCCAGUAAUUUCAGCAGCAACAAUAAAACCCAUAUGAAAAGCGAUUAAGCAACAACGCGUCCAUGGGACAGGAUAUUUUUUACUCUUGGGAGUAAGUAGUUGGCUUUUUUCUGUACACUUAGUUUUCUGUCCUUCCUAGUGCAAUAUGCAAAUUGCACAUGUAUUUAUAAUUUGCGUGGGUAUUCGCAAACAAAGUCUUGAGCUAAUGAGAGUCCGGUAAGUACAAUUCAAGAAGAAAUAUACCACAAUUGAUAUAUUUUUAAUAUGAAAAAUAAUUCUUUUCAUUCUAUUUUAGAAGACAAGAAGAAAAACAAAAAAGAACAAUGUCUGGAUAAAUAGACCAGCCUAAAGCCAGCGUUCAGUUACACAGAAAUUAAGUUCAAAUAAUUAACGUUUGGUCCCGUUGUAAGUAUCUGAAAACAGCACUUGAUAAUCAGAGGACUGUGAGAAGGCCAAGCAUCCUUAGCAGUAGCCACAGUUCUAAGCCUUAGAGUGCAGCAUGAAAGCCAAUCUCUCAUUUCCUGUGUUGCGAUGUAGUUGUUGAAGGUAUUUACCGUAUGUACAUUUACAACAAUAACUUCAUGCGGCGAUGGGAGAAGUGAGACUCCUUUUGCUAGGGACAAAACAGUGCCUCUGAGAAUCACAUCGUGCCACCGAGUUUUGUGAUCUGGAAGUGAGAGCAGAGGAACUGCUGCCUCCUUCCUCCCAGCUGGGCUGCAGCAGAGUUGAUGCUUUCCUUCUUCAUCCAUCUGCCUGCCCCACAGUCUGCCUCUGCUGGCACAGGAGCCCGGGGUGCCUCGGGUCAUCUUUGCCUGACACUCACAGCACUGGGGCCUCAGGUGUUUAUACAUCAAUCAAAAAGAAAAAAAAAAAAAGGCAGAUUUUUGGAGUGAACAGGAAUCCUUCUCUUUGCUCAGCUUUUUCCACUCCUGUAUUUCUCUGUCCCAUAAGACCUACUUUAAUCUUUAUUUUUGCACAACACUCUUAUGAGAUGAUAGAGAGAAAUUCAAUUUUUUGGCCAGGACCACAGUGGUUGUGUGAAGGAUUACUGAAAUAGAAGCCUAUAGAGAAUCAUCUUCUUUUCCUCCUAAAACCGUUUUGAAUUUACCACCCUCUGCCACCGUUAAAGUAGUGAAGAAAGAACCAAAACCAGGUUUGCCAACCCCGGCACAGAAGUGAAAAGAGAGUUGGGACAACGUUGCAUUGUGCACCUGGCAUUGUACAAAUUACAAGAUAAAGAUGUAUAUUGUUAUGUACGUGUUUCCAAGUAUCAGUAAAAGAAUUAAAUGCAAUCAAAAUUGGGGAAGUCUUUUCUAACAUGCAACAGGUGAUUUAGGUCCAGAGGCGUAAGCUGCUGAUGGCUCUUGGAGGCUGCACCUGGCUUCCUCAGCAGAGCUAUGCAGACAGCUGCUCCAAGGAAGCAUCUUCUGAAGUUAUUUUAGUUUCUGUCUCAACUUUCCAGGCGAUGUCUUUGCCUUCUAUCUUUGCCAGAAUCGUAGCAGAUCAGAGGUGUGUGUCGUUCCAGUGCAGCCAGCCAUCACAAGCCUCCCGCUGCCCACCUGUAUCUCACCUUCCUUUGUAUCAGGAGAGCUACCUGGCUGUAAAACCACCUGCUCGCACAGAUGCAUCGCAGUGGUCUGGAUUUCACAGCCAGCUUCACAGAAGUUAAAGAACACCAAGCAAGUGCUUUAAAAAUAGGAGUGAAGUGAUCCCAGUUAUCUGCCUUAGCAAGAUGUUCCCGUGCUCUAGUGAAGCAGAACAAAUACUUGGCAGGGGCAGCUGCGCAGGUGCCUGGGGAAUGCCAGGUCAGAGACCGGUACUGCAGAGCUGUGAGCUGCUGCAGUUGUGCCAGAGGUGUAGCAUCUGAAAAUGUGAGCGUGACGAAUGCUGCCUUGUUUUCCUCACAGUUGCAAUGGCUGAGGUUGUGGUAAUCUUUUUUUCACUCCGUCCAAAAUCAACUGCUUCUCCUGCCACAGGCAGAUGCUGUUUGGCCAAGUGCUCUCUGCCAGCUCUCCAGCUUUACCCGGUUACUGGUAUGUUUUGAACAAACACAGAUGAGGGGAAGUAUGAGACACCAUGUUAAAAUACUUCCUGCCCAGUCCCUCAAAGAAAGGUCCCUGUGCAAAUGCUUGACAUAGAGAUCAUAUUCGACCUUUGAUCAUCUGUCAUUUUGUUGUAAGAAAGCAUGCCAUCAUUUGCCACCGUUUAAAAUAGACCCAAAGGAAGUUAGGGCUUAAUCUUAACCUCAAACACAUUGAGCCCUGUAUUUCCUAUCCAGCUACCCAGUGUGCUAUCUGGUUUCCUACACCUCAGGCCUGCUAAGUUUAGUUCCCCCGAGCCAGCUGCUAAGAAGGAAGGGAAGCUGUGCUCACCCUGGAUAAAGCUUUUGCUGUCCACAGCCAUCCCAGCUCCUUGCCAGCCUUUACGUGUGGGCCUCCUGAGCAGCGGACAGAGAUAUAAGUGAGAAACUUCAAAAGUAUAAAAAUACACAUUUUGAAUCCUUUUCCCUCCCUGUCUUCAUUUAUCCCAUGGGUUCGUACAUUUAAAUUUUUGAUGCCAAGCUUUCUUGGGCUUCUCUGGAAAGAACACUAUUAGUUACAUGCUUAGGCGUAAUCAUUUAACAGUUAUGAAUGUCAUGUGGUUAAACCAUUGCUAAAUUCAACACUGGAGUGUUAUGCAUUAAUUAGUUUUAUAUCAAACCCAGUGCAGUCACCCAGGUCUUCUUUCAUCUUAGGAAGUAAAUGAAUGAAUAUGAAUAUAUAAUAUACCAUACAGGAAUUAGAUUGCUUCACCAGGAAUGCUGUUUAUCAUUGAAAGUAGCUGCAUAAAAUAGCUGUGAUAAAACUGACCUAUUUUCCCUUUCUAUCAGUGUGAUUUCUUGUCCAUUUACUUCAGACAAAAGGAUUUUUAUCACAGAGGAACUGGCUGGUUCCUUUUUCAGAAGUCCUCUCUCAGGCCCUCCUAAAAGCCGCAGCCAUGUUUCAAUAGUACAUCUUCUGGGGAACUUAGCUAUUUAUUAACUCAAUUGCUCUUCCUCCCCCAUUUUUUUUUGUAGAACUAUGGUACAUUUUACAUAAUUGUACCUACUCGGUUACUGGGUCAUAUCUGGCAGCCACAUGUCAUGGCACACUGAGCUACUCUUCAGGGGACAGAUUCAGUGAGCCUGUGCUCCUGCAGCAAAAUGAUAUAUAUAUUUUUUUUUUUCCCCAAACCAACAGAGCUCUUGUUAGAAUUUUAUCUUUUUUGAUGAAUUACAAAGCAAGAAUCUUAGCAAUAUUAAUAUCUCUGUGAAACCUACAGGACUGGGAAAAUUCCUUCCUUGUCCCAUCUGGCCCUAUUAAACAUUGGUUAAGCUCCUUCCUUCUGUUGCAUUAACAAAUCUCCAGCAUUUCAGACCAUGGAAAGAAAAAAUCCUUCUGAAGGAAAGGCUUUACAACACUGUUAGGAACAGACAAUACACAGAAACCCUUGGACAGGUGCAGCAGUUCAGCACAGAGACAUAUAUCUGCCCCUGUGAAUAAUUCUCUCCCAGCUGAAAGACUUUUUAUGGAAUUUGUAUGGAAGAGCUGUUUUCUUUUCCUAGCAUUGCUGACAGCUUUAUCUGAGUUGUUCCAUUGUUUCCAUAACAUUAUAUCCUUCUACCCAUGCUCAGCCCUUGCUCCGAUUGGCAGCACUCAUAAAUUCAGUUUUGAAUUUGGCAUCAGGAACCAUUUUUCUGAGCAGCAGGAUGAAUAAAAAUAUGUUCACAUGAAAUAAUCCAGUCUAACCUAAAAUACAACAGACCUCUGUAGAACAUAUGACAAGAAAAGAAGUGGUAACUUCAAACAUGAAGUGCUCUCCCGCAAUUUUAUUUCAAUACCUGCAUGUAUCUCAUUCUUCCCUCUGUCCCUCCACAUAAUACGCUAUUUCUCCUCUAAUUUUACCCAUUUAAAAACAGGAUAAUUUAUAAGCUUAAACAUUGCCCUUGUUUGGUUAGGGGCAAAUUGGGCCUGAUGUGUGCCUUUUUUUUUUUUUUUUUUAAGAAGCAGUUAAAUGUGCAAAGAAGAAUACAAAACAGCAGGUUAGUUUUAUGGUAACUCUAACAUAAAUUUAUAGAGCACUGUCAUACAGAUAAGGACAGAAAAUGAACAGCAUGGGGCUGUAAGGCAAACAAAUGAGAAAAAAAGACUUGUCUGAAGCAUGUAACUAGAUUCACAUUAAUCCAGUCAUGCAGACAGAAGAACCUGAUGGUACUGCUGUAUUAACCUGCUCAGAAAUGGCAAAAAAAUACAAGAUGAGAGUCUCCAGACACUUCAUGGCUCCAGAAAACUACUGUCACAAAUCUUUGGUCCAUUGGGACUGGUUAAUGUGAAAUUCAAAGCUGAAGAUCCUUCCGAGCCAAAAGAGACUUCUGUGAUGAGGAAGCUCCAAAUACAGUGAAUAAUUCUAGCAAGGGGUUGCAAAACGCCCUGUGAUAACAAAUAGGGAGCGGGAACAUGUUUGUCUGUUUAUUCUCACGAACGCUGGGAUUCAAAACCUGCCACACUUCCUUCCACGGCUACGCACAUAAGUCAUCUCACUGGUUUUAAUGCAAGGCACAGUCAUACUUAGCCUGGUUCAAGACGGCUAAGUAGCCCAGGUUAAGAAACUUUAAUGGAUUUUUGCUUCAGGCCCAGCUGUGGUGGCAGUAUCUAAAUGAUGCUUCCUGGCAAAGGCAGGUUGUAAGGACCUUAUAUAAUCCAUGGGUAGGUUUGCAGUAACACCUUUGUUUUUAAUCGGUGACCUUAAUGCUUUGUCUGUAUUUCUCUUAAUAGAUUCAGGAAUAGACAUCUCCAUUCUCUGGAAAAAAAAAAAAAAGAUCAGCAGGAAAGCCUAAAUCCAUCCAUUUGCCUGUCAUGUGUUAGGCAAAUGGUGCUGACGUUAGGAAAUGUGCAGCACUUGACACGUGCGCUCUGUAACAGCGUGGCCGUAGCCAGCAGCCAUCGCGUGCAGUCAGCGCUUCACAGUGCUGACAGGAUCCUGACAGUGAGCCAUGGUACACCAAAAGGAGGACAAACGAAUAUAAAGGGCCCCUCAGGCAGUUCUCCACACUGCUCCACUAAGUGAGAAGAAAAAUCCACGUCCAAACCCCUUCACCAGCCAUCCCACCACCUGCACCCUCCUUGGAAGCUGCCCUGUCUGUCACAGGCAGCCGCGGCCAGCCCAGGAGCGAGCCGGGACCCUUCAGCUUUGCCUGCCCCACGACAUCGGCGUCCUGUGGGGCCUUCACCUGUGGGGUGCUGGUUUAAAAAGGGUCCCGGCACAUCACAGAGAGCACCGUCAGAGCUUGAAAAGGAGUGUUAAAAGAUGACUGGGACCUUGGCAGGGAGUGAGGUGGAACACUGAUGUGCCCAUGGGAUCUACCUGCCCAUUAGCAAAAGGACAUGAAGAGACUUCAAUGGCGGGGCGGUGUUCCUGGCAUUAUGCUGAUGCGCUGCUGUGCGCAUUGUACGACAUCUGUGCAGAGCCUUGAGCAACAGAUGACUAAGUAUCAUCUGAUGUUCUGUUAUUAAAAAGUAGGUGAAUGUGUGUGCUUCA